rnacentral:rRNA from 1 species
GAGAGACGUAGCCGAUGGAUAACAGAUUGAUAUUUCUGUACCACUAUAUAAGCGCCAAAAUCGAAUAUAUGUCGCUAAGGAAAGCCUUCGGGCCUACCGACCCACAUAUUAUUAGAUUAGCAAUGGAGUGACGGAGAAGGAUAAAUGAGCCCAGGCGAUGGUUGACCUGGGGUAAAUGCGUAGGGUGAUCGACAGGUAAAUCCAUCGAUCAUGAAACCUGAGACAUGAUGCCGAGCCGCUUUUAGGCGAAGUCAUUGAUUCCAUACUUCCAAGAAAACCUUCUAGUUAGUUUAUAUAGUGCCCGUACCCCAAACCGACACAGGUGGACAAGUAGAGAAUACUAAGGCGAGCGAGAGAACUCUGGUUAAGGAACUCGGCAAAAUAGUUCCGUAACUUCGGAAGAAGGAACGCCCUAGUAAAGUGAGUGAUUAACUUCAUGAGCUUGAAUGGGCCGCAGUGAUCAGACUCAAGCGACUGUUUAUCAAAAACACAGGAGGAUGCAAAGUUCUAAUACAACGUAUAUCCUCUGACACCUGCCCGGUGCUGGAAGGUUAAGUGGAGAGGUUAGCUUCGGCGAAGCUUUGAAAUUAAGCCCCAGUAAACGGCGGCCGUAACUAUAACGGUCCUAAGGUAGCGAAAUUCCUUGUCGGGUAAGUUCCGACCUGCACGAAUGGUGUAACGAUUUGAGUACUGUCUCAACCAGAGACUCGGCGAAAUUGCAAUGUGAGUAAAGAUGCUCACUAUGCGCGACAGGACGGAAAGACCCCGGAACCUUUACUGCAACUUGAUAUUGAAUGUUGGUAUGCAGUAUGCAGGAUAAGUGGGAGACUUUGAAACAAUGGCGCUAGUCAUUGUGGAGUCAUCCUUGAGAUACCACUUUCUUCAUAUUGAUCUUCUAACCUAGAUCCGUAAUCCGGAUUAGGGACAUUGUCUGGUAGGAGUUUCACUGGGGCGGUGGCCUCCUAAAAAGUAACGGAGGCGCUCUAAGGUCACCUCAGCGUGGACGGCAAUCACGCAUUGAGUGUAAGUGCAAAAGGUGGCUUGACUGUGACACAAACAAGUGGAGCAGGUACGAAAGUAGGAACUAGUGAUCCCAUGGUUGCAUGUGGGUGCGCCAUGGCUCAUCGGCUAAAAGGUACUCCGGGGAUAACAGGCUUAUACCCCCCAAGAGUCCAUAUCGACGGGGGUGUUUGGCACCUCGAUG